rnacentral:antisense_RNA from 1 species
AAUAACGAGCAAAGUCUCCCGAAAAUAGUUUGAAAGUUGGUUUCUGACAAGAGGAAAGAAAAGGCUGCAACAACACUAAAGGAAGACUCAAAGUGUUAAAAGGACGCUCAAAAUGUAGUAUUGUGGCAGGUCGGGAAUCCCAUCAUCUUUAUUGAGGGACAUUCCUUUGGAAAGAAUACUUCCCAAUCAUUCUAUCAAAAAUAUUAUACUUGAAGAGAAGCCCUGCUGGAAUGAUUUAGGGGAUACAUAGAAUGGAAUGUGAAAUCCUAUAAUUUGCAGCAGCAUGGAUGAAGUGGGGGCCAUUAUCUUGUGAAUAAUUAAAUGUUUUGAUAGUAAAAAAUCAAUGAAUGACCUUCUAUUUGGGUGCGAUCAUCAGUGUGGGAAGACGGCGGCAGUAUACCCAGAACUAGCACAAGCGAACAAAUGGAGAUUCUUGCUCUGUUCCCCAGGCUGGAGUGUAGUGGCACAAUCUCGGCUCACUGCAACCUCUGCCUGCAAGGUUCAAGCGAUUCUUGUGCCUCAGCCUCCCAAGUAGCUGGAAUUACAGAGGCAAAGUUUCACUCUGUGGCCCAGG